GCCCAUUAGCAAGCCCCCAAACCAAAAACAACCUACCAAUAUUUAUAAACCCAAAAUCACAAAACCAAACACUAAACAAACCAUUUUUCCCCCUAAGUUUGGGCGACAUAAAAGGAACUGAAGAGCAGAACAGAAUGUACCGCAAGGGAAUGCUGA
rnacentral:rRNA from 1 species